UACGGGGGGGGCAAGCGUUGUUCGGAAUUACUGGGCGUAAAGGGCUCGUAGGUGGCCAACUAAGUCAGACGUGAAAUCCCUCGGCUUAACCGGGGAACUGCGUCUGAUACUGGAUGGCUUGAGUUCGGGAGAGGGGUGCGGAAUUCCAGGUGUAGCGGUGAAAUGCGUAGAUAUCUGGAGGAACACCGGUGGCGAAGGCGGCAUCCUGGACCGACACUGACACUGAGGAGCGAAAGCCAGGGGAGCAAACGGG
rnacentral:rRNA from 1 species